rnacentral:tRNA from 1 species
UGGGGUAUUAGCGCAGUUGGGAGCGCGCAACAUUCGCAUUGUUGAGGCCAGGGGUUCGAAUCCCCUAUACUCCAUC